GAAGAUUCACCGGAACCCGAGAGCUAGCAAGAGAAUAGAAAGAAUUCCAUGUUGGCACGCUCCCUCCUAUUGUAGGCUUAUUUUCCACUGGACAGUGUUACGGAAACUUCCAACGAAAAUGGCUGCUUUAUUCAUUUUGUGUUUGCAAUGAAUUGAGUGGUUCCUUCGAGGAAGCGCUGUAAAAUGUAAAACAGUUGGCACGCGACUGACGUACGCUUUGCUUUCUU
rnacentral:lncRNA from 1 species